CGGAAAUGAGUACGCUCUAUACCCUUUGUGACAUACCUACAACUGUUGCUUCGGCGGGUAGGCCGUCCCCUGAAAAGGACGCCUCCCGGCCCGGACCGGACCCCCCGCGGGACCGGACCCGGCGCCCGCCGGAGGAUAACCAAACUCUAUUGUAACGACGUUUCUUCUGAGUGGCAUAAGCAAAAUAAUCAAAACUUUUAACAACGGAUCUCUUGGUUCUGGCAUCGAUGAAGAACGCAGCGAAAUGCGAUAAGUAAUGUGAAUUGCAGAAUUCAGUGAAUCAUCGAAUCUUUGAACGCACAUUGCGCCCGCCAGCAUUCUGGCGGGCAUGCCUGUUCGAGCGUCAUUUCAACCCUCAAGCUCUGCUUGGUGUUGGGGCUCUACGGUCGACGUAGGCCCUCAAAGGUAGUGGCGGACCCUCCCGGAGCCUCCUUUGCGUAGUAACAUUUCGUCUCGCACUGGGAUCCGGAGGGACUCUUGCCGUAAAACCCCCCAAUUUUCCAAAGGUUGACCUCGGAUCAGGUAGGAAUACCCGCUGAACUUAAGCAUAUCAAUAAGCGGAGGAAA
rnacentral:rRNA from 1 species